GGAUGUAAGGGCUAUCUGGCUGCAACAUCUGUCACCCCACUGAUCGCCAGGGUUGGCUAGGAGGGUGUCCCCUUCCUCCCUCACUGCUCCAUGUGCGUCCCUCCCGAAGCUGUGCGCUUGGUCAAAGAGGACGAACAUCCCCGACAGAGGAGAACUGGUCUUCGGUCAAGGGUAUACAAGUAACUGCACUCCCCUGCUAGAACCUCCAUUCAAGCUCUCAAAAAAUUGGAGAAAAAAAUUAGCUGCUUGGGAAGCUGAGGUGGGAGCCUGAGCCUAGAGAGGUCGAGUGAGCCAUGAUUCUGUCACUGCACUCCAGCCUGGGAAACAGAGUGAGACCUUGUCU
ensembl:misc_RNA 7SK 7SK RNA